rnacentral:rRNA from 1 species
GAUGAACGCUGGCGGCGUGCCUAAUACAUGCAAGUCGAGCGAACAGACGAGGAGCUUGCUCCUCUGACGUUAGCGGCGGACGGGUGAGUAACACGUGGAUAACCUACCUAUAAGACUGGGAUAACUUCGGGAAACCGGAGCUAAUACCGGAUAAUAUAUUGAACCGCAUGGUUCAAUAGUGAAAGACGGUUUUGCUGUCACUUAUAGAUGGAUCCGCGCCGCAUUAGCUAGUUGGUAAGGUAACGGCUUACCAAGGCAACGAUGCGUAGCCGACCUGAGAGGGUGAUCGGCCACACUGGAACUGAGACCCGGUCCAGACUCCUACGGGAGGCAGCAGUAGGGAAUCGUCCGCAAUGGGCGAAAGCUUGACGGAGCAACGCCGCGUGAGGGAUGAAGGUCUUCGGAUCGUAAAACUCUGUUAUUAGGGAAGAACAAAUGUGUAAGUAACUAUGCACGUCUUGACGGUACCUAAUCAGAAAGCCACGGCUAACUACGUG